rnacentral:rRNA from 1 species
UUCCGGUUGAUCCUGCCGGAGGCUACCGCUAUUGGAGUUCGAUUAAGCCAUGCGAGUCGCGAGAAAUUAGAUUCUCGGCGUACCGCUCAGUAACACGUGGGUAACCUGCCCUAUGCUGGAUAAUAACCUCGGGAAACUGAGAAUAAUGAUCCAUAGUUCACUACGCCUGGAACGGUGAGUGGAUGAAAGCUCCGGCGGCAUAGGAUGGGCCUGCGGCGUAUCAGGUUGUAGGGGGUGUAACGUACCCUCUAGCCCUCUACGCGUACGGGUGUUGGGAGACAUAGCCCGGAGAUGGAUUCUGAGACACGAAUCCAGACCCUACGGGGUGCAGCAGGCGCGAAAACUUGGCAAUGCGAGCAAUCGUGACCAGGGAACUCCAAGUGGCUGGGGUAAGACCCAGUCUUUUCAGAACUCUUCAAAGGUUUUAGAAUAAGGGGUGGGUAAGGACGGUGCCAGCCGCCGCGGUAAUACCGGCGCCUCAAGUGGUAGUCGCUUUUAUUGGGCCUAAAACGUCCGUAGCCGGUUUGGUACAUUCGUGGGUAAAUCAACUCGCUCAACGAGUUGAAUUCUGCGAGGACGGCCAGACUUGGGACCGGGAGAGGUGUGGGGUACUCUCAGGGUAGGGGUAAAAUCCUGUCAUCCUGAGAGGACCACCUGUUGCGAAGGCGCCACACUAGAACGGAUCCGACGGUCAGGGACGAAGCCUAGGGGCACGAACCGGAUUAGAUACCCGGGUAGUCCUAGGUGUAAACGCUGUGGACUUGAUGUUGGAGGAGCUCCGAGCACUCUCAGUGUCGAAGCGAAGGUGAUAAGUCCACUGCCUGGGAAGUACGGUCGCAAGGCUGAAACUUAAAGGAAUUGGCGGGGGAGCACCGCAACCUGAGGAUUGUGCGGUUUAAUUGGAUUCAACGCCGG